UUCCGGUUGAUCCUGCCGGAGGUCACUGCUAUCGGGGUUCGAUUAAGCCAUGCGAGUCGAGAGGGUUCGGCCCUCGGCGUACUACUCAGUAACACGUGGAUAACCUGCCCUAAGGAAGGGGAUAACCUCGGGAAACUGAGGAUAAUACCCUAUAGGUUACAGAUGCUGGAAUGCCCUGUAACCGAAAGCUCCGGCGCCUUAGGAUGGAUCUGCGGCCGAUUAGGUUGUUGUUGGGGUAACGGCCCAACAAGCCGAUAAUCGGUACGGGUUGUGGGAGCAAGAGCCCGGAGUUGGAUUCUGAGACACGAAUCCAGGCCCUACGGGGCGCAGCAGGCGCGAAAACUUUACAAUGCGGGAAACCGUGAUAAGGGAACCCCGAGUGCCUGUAUAUGCAGGCUGUCCAGGUGUCUAAAAAACACCUGAAGAAAGGGCCGGGCAAGACCGGUGCCAGCCGCCGCGGUAAUACCGGCGGCUCGAGUGGUGGCCACUUUUAUUGGGCUUAAAGCGUUCGUAGCUGGGUUGUUAAGUCUCUUGGGAAAUCUGACGGCUUAACCGUCAGGCGUCUAAGAGAUACUGGCAAUCUUGGAACCGGGAGAGGUGAGGGGUACUUCGGGGGUAGGAGUGAAAUCCUGUAAUCCUCGAGGGACCACCUGUGGCGAAGGCGCCUCACCAGAACGGCUUCGACAGUGAGGGACGAAAGCUGGGGGAGCAAACCGGAUUAGAUACCCGGGUAGUCCCAGCCGUAAACGAUGCGCGUUAGGUGUAUCGGUGACCACGAGUCACCGAGGUGCCGAAGGGAAACUGUAAAACGCCCCCCCUGGGAAGUACGGUCGCAAGGCCGAAACUUAAAGGAAUUGGCGGGGGAGCACCACAACGGGUGGAGCCUGCGGUUUAAUUGGACUCUACGCCGGGAAGCUCACCAGAUAAGACAGCGGAAAGGUGGACGGGCCGAUGUCUUUUCACGCCCAGGCAAGAGAUGCACAAAGCC
rnacentral:rRNA from 1 species